rnacentral:rRNA from 1 species
UUAAACAUCUAUAGUGCGUUGAAUACACCGGUUCUCGUCCAGUCACCGAAGUUAAGCAACGUCGGGUGCGGUCAGUACUUGGAUUGGUUACUACCUAGGAACACCGCGUGACGAUGGAU